rnacentral:rRNA from 1 species
GAUGAACGCUAGCGAUAGGCUUAACACAUGCAAGUCGAGGGGCAGCACAAGGUAGCUUGCUAUCUGGGUGGCGACCGGCGCACGGGUGCGUAACGCGUAUGCAACUUGUCCUAUACAGGAGGAUAACCCGUCGAAAGACGGACUAAUACUGCGUAUGCUCACAACUUGGCAUCAAGUGGUGAGGAAAGAAAUUCGGUAUAGGAUAGGCAUGCGUCCCAUUAGCUUGUUGGUGAGGUAACGGCUCACCAAGGCAACGAUGGGUAGGGGAACUGAGAGGUUUAUCCCCCACACUGGUACUGAGACACGGACCAGACUCCUACGGGAGGCAGCAGUGAGGAAUAUUGGUCAAUGGGCGCGAGCCUGAACCAGCCAAGUCGCGUGAAGGAUGACUGUCUUAUGGAUUGUAAACUUCUUUUAUACGGGAAUAACAAGAGUCACGUGUGACUCCCUGCAUGUACCGUAUGAAUAAGCAUCGGCUAACUCCGUG